CCUCGUGCGUUUGCUUCCAGC
rnacentral:misc_RNA from 1 species